GCAUGAGUUGCCGCCAAAUGCUAGCUCUGGAUGCCAGCUCGUUCCGCGUCUCAUGGUAGACUAGUUGGUGCAUUUCUGUUAUCAUGGACUGCGCAUAUAAACGCAAGCUACACAAAAGUGACAUGGACAAGAACAGCGCAAGCCCUUUACAUGCAGUGGAGCCGCCGUAUCUCGCCGUUCAAGAUAUGCGUACUCGCAAAAAAAAAAAAGGCUUUACAUGAGAACGGAUCAAGCGUUCGAGAGUUGGGACAGGGAAAUGUGAGACGUACUUUCAUGUAUAUAUUUCUAAUAUUAUUUUUUCGUCUUGUAUUCUCGUUAAUUUUUCUCUAGGAAACACUGGAACGACACUGCUUAAAUUGAAGCACAGUGUGCGAAUGACCUGCUACGCUCGGAACUGUUAUCACCAUUCGGGAAGAAAUUGGAUGAAAAAACAUAACUGUAAAUACCUGUAUGAUAUACGUCUGGUGCAUUACAGGUAAGAAUGGAUUGUGUGUGGCGCGCUUCACCGCAUGUGGACUAGAGUAGAUCUAGGAACAUCAGACAAGAAGACACGUAUGUGAAACCCUGCGGAUAGCCCAUAUGUGAACUUUUUUUCCAGAAACGGAGGAACGGACACCGGUCGUGCCGUGAGCACUAUUCUGCAGGGCAUACUUACAAAUGAAGCUGCACUGCAGUUCAGCUGGAAAGGGUCGCAGGGGAGGAAGCACGCCUUCGUGAAGCUCAUGGCCAUCACGAAUAUAACAUCUGUGAGGAGCACGUUCCCUGACGCUUCACUAGCAUCAGUGGCUGGAGUCGCAAAACGCUGGUUGGUUGGAGCAGCUGACAGGGAUGGAGGCCGGAAUGAAAGAAGGCGCCGUGACCCUGCUUCAAGCCCACCAAAUAUGAACUAGUGUUUGAAACUUGUGAACGUGUCGGUGUACAUAUGCAAU